UUGCUUCACCAGCACAUAUACUAAAAUUGGAACAAUACAGAGAAGAUUAGAAUAGCCCCUGCACAAGGAGGACAUGCAAAUUCUUGAAAUGUUCCAUAUUUUU